UUGUGUCCAAAGAAAGCUUGUCUGGUUUCAGCCCAGCUGUCCCGUGAGAAGGCUGCCAUUGCUAACACGCCGGAUGGGCCACUUCAGGGCCCUGUCUCACCGCCUCUGAUCACCCUGUGAAAUAUGAGUUGGGGCACUUUUCUGUGACAAAUGCUUGCUUGACUGAGCCCCCAUUCAGGCAUCCAGUGUCAGCACUUGUCGCAGACGGGCAUUGUGGCUAAGGCAGCCAGACAAUGACAGAUUCAGACUCCUGGCCAGACUGUCAGGGGAGUUUCCCCCUCAGGCCUGGGCUUGUCGCGGGAAUGCCUGCCUGGCCAAAUCUUUCCAGGGCUUUGGGCUGCACCUGUGCUUCCAAAUGUCACUGGGCUUGAGAGCUAGUCGCUUUGCUUUCCAUUGUCCUUGUCAAGAAGCCUUGGGCAAGUGACAUGACACAUCCAAACGAAAACAGGGGUGACUCAAUGCAGGACCAGACUUGGAAAAGACCAGCAAGUCCAGGAUCUCGGUCUUUUGGAGAGGAACCCCAGCCGAGUCACAUGACCAAGUGGCGCUCAUUGCUGAUUGUGCUAGUGGGCUUGGGCCCUAGGCAUGUGGUGCAAUGUCUUUGACAGCUUUGCUGAGCCAGGACAAGUGAAGACAGGAACAUGCAUGAGGAUUUGCAAAGAACCAAAGAAUGGAAAUCCUACAGGCAGUUAUAAUUGAUUACAGCUCCAACCGUCACCACCCAGCCCUAGGGAUAAGACCUGAUGCUUUCUAGAACUUUCAAGAAAUUAAGACAUAAUUUUCAGAAGACCCUGAAGUUUUUGUUGAAAAAGUGAAGGGGCUGGUGAGAUGGCUCAGUGGUUAAGAGAACUGACUGCUCUUCCGAAGGUCCAGAGUUCAA